UGGGCUACUAUGAAAUCUUUGAGUAGUUUCAUGGGCUUGCCAAUAGAAGCAACCGAUGACUCUCCCUCUCCCUCCUUCGCAGGGAUCCUUCACUCCAUUCUCAUCUGAUUCUCUCUCAAAUUCACUUCGAUCGAACGCAUUUGACUGGAAACGGAAAAGGGUAUUCUUAAAUUGAAGCAGACGUGAGAUUUAUCCUCAAAGACUUCAUUUUUCCAGUGCUGGAUAUUGGAGUUGAGAUCACACGAAGGAAUUUUCCCUCUUCAGAUAUUGUAAAAAUUGUUGCUGUCAUGGAUCCAGAGGCUGCAAAGACUGCAAGGGACUCUUUGAAUUUGGCAUUUCAUAUGUCAAACCUUCUUGAUACAGGACUUGAUCGACACACCCUUUCGGUUCUUAUUGCCCUUUGUGAUUUGGGUUUGAACCCAGAAGCACUUGCUGCUGUUGUGAAAGAACUCCGGAGAGAACCUGUUUCAUCUUCACUGCCAAAUUCUAGUGCUCCGGUAGCUAAACCGUAGUUAGGUAAUGGAUUUGUAAUGAUUUCGGUAGAAUGCAAUGUAAGGUAAUAUGAUGUUUGCUUGUUUGUUGAUCGGAUUUUUUCUUUUUGUAUUGAAAUUCAAAAUGCAGCGAACCACUUGUAUUUUUUUUGCCCUCCCUGACUUGAUGAGUUGUAGAAAUUUGGGUACCAUUUGUAGAGGAGUGGAGAGCUCUGUCUCAAACACAAUUAUGUGCUAAAGAUGGAACUUGUUGUCUAAGCGUCCACUGUACUUUAGUGAUUUCCUCUUGUUAAAGCCUGUGUGUUCCUGACCAAACAUGCGUUUUGAUUGAAUCUAAGUUGUUUCGGUUGUUUCA